UACAGAGGUCUCAAGCGUUGUUCGGAUUUAUUGGGCGUAAAGCGUGCGUAGGCGGCGGGGUAAGUGAGGUGUGAAAUCCCGGAGCUUAACUCCGGAACUGCACUUUAUACUGCCUUGCUCGAGGGCUGGAGAGGAGACUGGAAUUUACGGUGUAGCAGUGAAAUGCGUAGAGAUCGUAAGGAAGACCAGUGGCGAAGGCGAGUCUCCGGAAAGCUGCUGACGCUGAGGCACGAAGGCCAGGGGAGCAAACGGG
rnacentral:rRNA from 1 species